ensembl:lncRNA
AAUCCCAGAAUGUAUUGCCCUCUUUGGAACAUGAAGAUGUCUGCCCUCCAGAAGGAAAACUCCAGAAGUCUUGCUGAACUCUAGAUAAGUGGUCAUACGUGUUCCCUCCUUUUCUCUUCUCCCUUCCCACCUCAGUUCGAUCCUGAGGGCUUGCCUGGCUCUGCAGGUUUGCUGUGAAGGCCCCUAGGGACUAUGCAAGCUGUGUCCUGGGGCUGCCUCAUCCACAUACGGUAACAAGGUGGCAGGUACUCAUUUCUCUGUCGCAACCUCUGGUUCCCCAAAAACUGUCAUCACCAACAGGAAAGGCUGUGCCACGGUGGCACCUCCGUCUGCUUGUCCCACGCACAGUGCCCGUGGGGCAAACCCUCUGCGAGGAACCGCUUAAUAAAACCCAAAGAUCUCACACCUCCAGCCGCUGGCCCCUUCUUUCCAGCAAUAGCCACCUUAUCCCAGGUCUGGUUCAGCCAAAGGUUGGGGAGAGGCUCCUCCAGUUUAUCUCCUGCCACCCAGCCUGGCGUCCACCUUCGGAAGGAUUUUGUCAUCUGCCUCCCAGUCGUGUGACCGCUGCAGGACUUUCAACUGCGGGCCCCUGGGGGCUGGCCAACCAGGAAGUUGGGCCAUUUCUAUUGUAUUGGCAGCUCGUGGUGGUCAGUUGUUGGCUGACUUGGAUGCAACUCAUCUCAAGCCGUGUGUUCCCAGGACAGAAAUGGCCUUGGUUUUGACAUACAUGCACCCCAGACAGGAGGUCAGCCCGCCAGGCCGCCCUCCGGAUGGUAGUUAGAAACCAGGAAACGAAACCCUGGGGCCGCCUGAGUAGAGCUUUCUGCCUACACCUUGUCUCGGGUUCACGGCACAGAGCAUCUGCCGCGUCCGCGAGCGAGGAUGCUUGGCCCCCGUUCCGCCUGUCAGACUCGUGCUUGGCGUUCCGGGAUUGGCUCUCGGCUGGGAAAAGGUCUGCAGCCCGGCCAGGGUCCUCCCCUUCAGUUCGCUCCUCUCUCUCCCGCACUUGGAGGAAACCCCCAGAGAAAAACCCCGCGAGGCACGUUUUCCACUGUGAAGCUGACCCGCUGCCUCGAGGAGGCCCCCAGGCCUGCGCGAGGCCACCUGCUUCUGCCUGGACUUGGACUGGACUCCUUGGAAAGGGGGCCCCCCCCCCCGAGAGACGUCAGGGAACAGCAUGCACUCUCUGGGGGCCGCAGGUUCACAAGAAAGGUUUGAGAUGAAGCUGGGAUGCGAACGGAGAAGGGAGGUCCCAUGAGAAACAGCCCAGAAGGGGACAACUGCUGGAUGUUGUCAUCAUGAGGGAUGUGCUUGCAGAGACGGGAAGAGGAGGGGCUCGGUGGGCGCCCCCUCCUGCCCCUCUGAGCUGGGGUGGCCUCACAGCUUCACCCCUGCCUUAGGGAAGCGGCGAUGCCUGUGUCUCUGGGGGUACCCAAAGGAGGGCUCCUGGAAAAGCCACUGGUUUAGACAAAACCAGGAGGCUGAGUCAGGCUCAGGCUGUGCCCUGGAGAUGGGAGAUGGGCUCCUGUCGGCCCCGCCCUGCCCCCUAUCCAGCCGGGCCUGUGGGAGGACCUGGCAGGGGCCUAACCCUCUCCUCACUGUGGCUCAAGUUUGCUAGGCCAGUUAUGGUGAACCAAUGAUCCAGUGUUUUCCCUCUCACAUUUCCCUCCCGGUUUCCCCUUUGCAGGGUUUUCUGGAGCUCUUGUUGCUGUUUUCGUUUUUCUUCCUCUCUCGUUGGCGUUGGAGGAUCGCGGUCGGUGGUUGCUUAGGUUGCUGUUUGUCAUAUUCACGCCCCCCCCCCCCCGCCCCUGACCGCCACCGCCACCGCCACCACGGGCGUUGCUUUAGCGAUUCGACUCCUGUACACAGAAGGACUUGCUGGUUUUGCAGAUGGGUGUCAGCAUCAAGACCACGAGGUUCCGACCCACCCACGCAUCCCACUGGGCACCUUGACUCUUCGAACCAAAGUUCCUUAAAGGGGCACAGCCCAGCCUUGUCCGCAGCCUCAGGGGCCUGGGGUCCUUCCUGAAGUCCAGGUUGGCCGAGACCACGGGAGCUGAGACCAGCCCGAGGGAGGGCCUACUCUCACAACCCAGGUGCCAGCCGGUCCCCGCCUGGGACCCUCCCUCCCUCCCAUUCAGGGGGGCUGGGUUUCCAGGCAGUGAGCGAGCUCAUGGACUGGCAUGGGGCUGGGACUCACCAGCCAGGAGAGAGGGACCUGCGGGGCUGGAAGCUCCGACCCAGCGGACAGCGCGUCCAGGGCCAUUCAGAUCCCAUACAUCAGGAAGUCAUUUUGUACAACCACCUGAAGUAGAGAUAUUUUUUAAAAAGCGUAAAUUAUUUUCAGUUGUUUCCCAGUCCUACGGUUUUUUUUUUUCCCCCUACAACUUCACAUCAGUGAUUCUUUCACAUCAGGUAAAUCUCAAGAAAGCCUUGGUGCCCCCUCCCUCCUGUGCCCCACUCGGUCACCCCGUGCGUGCAUCCCCAUCCUCUCUCAGUAGUUAAGACAUUCUAGGCAAUACCAUAGACACAUCCGACUGUGUCUCUCUCUUCAAGUGCAAGAAACUCAAGUCAUCUUAAAAAAAAAUACAAAAAAAAAUUUACAAAAAAACAAACACAAAAAAAAAAAUAUCUUUUUUAGGCCAGAGUUUUCUACAGGUAUUAAUGAAUAUUUUUCUUAAUCCUUAUAAGUUUUAUGUGUUUAAUAUUUCUUAAUACCGGUAGCAUUAAUUUAUACUUUUGUAGCAACACAAUAUUUUUAUAAACAGCCAGCACUUGGCUCAAGUCUCCACAGGGGGUUUAUUCAGGGCCAUCUUGGGACCCUGUGUACCAUGUACUGUAUUUAAAAAAAAAAGUUACCUAGUGUCACCCUUGCUGUGUUAAUUAACAAAAGACAUUGUUCGCGGUCUCCUGUGUCGUCGGUGUGGGCCCAGCAGCUCUCCGAGGAGUCCCGUUGCAUGGGGGUUGAGUUGACGGUUCUUGUGAUACGAAAACCCCCCUGAGACCAAACUUGAGGGUUUAUUUAGGGGUUUUCUGUUUGUCCUUUGAGUUUUCCGUUUCGCUUUGUUUUGGUACCGUUUCUCCAUUUACAGCCAAAUCAGUUUCGUGAUGUUUCAAACUCUUACUGAUGUCAAAUGGAGGAAAGGAAAAGAAAAAGAAAAAAAAAAAAAAGAUUUUUACAAAGUAAUAAAAUUUAAAACUGAGCUGUUUCAAUGUUGCUGUUUUUACCUGUCUGUUCUUGUCCAACCGUGGGACAUUCCCCAGGGAAAAGAGGAAGGUCCCGCUUGGUCCUUUAAAUCACCCAAAGCCCCAGCCCGGAAUUCCGCAUUCCCCCUACCCCUCGAAUCUUGCAACAUGAUUUCCCAGUUGGUUGAUGCCAAGGCAAGAAGACAUCCUUUUAAUGGUUAGAGAGGGUCAGUUGCUUAAAUGAUUUCAUGUCAGUGUUGUAUUUAUGGUUUUACAAUAAAACGACUUUUAGGAA